UACGAAGGGGGCUAGCGUUGCUCGGAAUUACUGGGCGUAAAGCGCACGUAGGCUGCUUUCUAAGUCGGGGGUGAAAUCCUGGAGCUCAACUCCAGAACUGCCUUCGAUACUGGAGAGCUUGAGUCCGGGAGAGGUGAGUGGAAUUCCUAGUGUAGAGGUGAAAUUCGUAGAUAUUAGGAAGAACACCAGUGGCGAAGGCGGCUCACUGGCCCGGUACUGACGCUGAGGCGCGAAAGCGUGGGGAGCAAACAGG
rnacentral:rRNA from 1 species